CACAAAAUUACUUGAGAAAAUGAUGUCCAUCACUAAGAAAUUGAUUUUCUUCACUCUAAUUCUUUGUGUCAUCUUACCUUCUCAUGAAUGUGUCAAAGGAAAUAGAAACUUGAGUCCUAUGGGUGAGAAGACAGAAUUGGUUAAGAGAUGUCAAGUAAAUUUUGGUCCAUGUGACCCAAGAUGCAAUGUAAGAUGUUGCCAUGAGCAAUGUGAAGGAUACUAUAGUAAAGGGCACCCAGAGGCAGCUUGCAAGUAUUUUAGUGGACAAUAUGAAACUUGCAUUUGUACCUAUGAUUGUCAAUAAAUGAAACCUCAAUUGGCUUCAUUUGAUUCAAAGAGUUAUUAGUUACACCUUGUUUUGA